rnacentral:rRNA from 1 species
GACGAACGCUGGCGGCGUGCUUAACACAUGCAAGUCGAACGGAAAGGCCCUGCUUUUGUGGGGUGCUCGAGUGGCGAACGGGUGAGUAACACGUGAGUAACCUGCCCUUGACUUUGGUAUAACUUCAGGAAACUGGGGCUAAUACCGGAUAGGAGCUCCUGCUGCAUGGUGGGGGUUGUAAAGUUUCGUCGGUUGGGGAUGGACUCGCGGCUUAUCAGCUUGUUGGUGGGGUAGUGGCUUACCAAGGCUUUGACGGGUAGCCGGCCUGAGAGGGUGAACGGCAACAUUGGGACUGAGAUACGGCCCAGACUCCUACGGGAGGCAGCAGUGGGGAAUAUUGCACAAUGGGCGGAAGCCUGAUGCAGCAACGCAGCGUGCGGGAUGACGGCCUUCGGGUUGUAAACCGCUUUCGCCUGUGACGAAGCGUGAGUGACGGUAAUGGGUAAAGAAGCACCGGCUAACUACGUG